AGUGAACGUUGGCGGCGUGGAUUAGGCAUGCAAGUCGAGCGAGAACCGUAGCAAUACGGGGACAGCGGCGAAAGGGACAGUAAUGUGUAGGUACCUACCCCGGGGUCUGGGAUAGCUGCGGGAAACUGCAGGUAAUACCGGAUAAUGUCUUCGGACCAAAGGUGUGAUUCCACCUUGGGAGGGGCCUGCAUCCUAUUAGCUUGUUGGCGGGGUAACGGCCCACCAAGGCAACGAUGGGUAGCGGGUGUGAGAGCACGACCCGCGUCAUUGGGACUGAGAUACUGCCCAGAAACCUACGGGUGGCUGCAGGCGAGGAUCUUCGGCAAUGGGCGAAAGCCUGACCGAGCGACGCCGCGUGCGGGAUGAAGGCCUUCGGGUUGUAAACCGCUGUCGUAGAGGAGGAAAUGCAGGGGGGUUCUCCCUUCUGUUUGACCUAUUCUAGGAGGAAGGACGGGCUAAGUUCGUGCCAGCCGCCGCCGUAA
rnacentral:rRNA from 1 species